rnacentral:rRNA from 1 species
GGCGGCCGUAGCGCGGUGGUCCCACCUGACCCCAUGCCGAACUCAGAAGUGAAACGCCGUAGCGCCGAUGGUAGUGUGGGGUCUCCCCAUGCGAGAGUAGGGAACUG